rnacentral:lncRNA from 1 species
ACCCAAGAGGAGACUGGUUGCAGUUGAGGUCAACUGGGAACCUGAGCACAUAUAACUGUCAGCUGCUAAAACUUCCAGCAAGAAAUGCAUCCCUGAUCCUAUAGCUAUUGCAUCUCUCUCCUUUUUGACCAGUGUCAUCAUCUUUUCCAAAAGCAGAGUAUAAAGAAAUCUUGUGGCUCCUUUUAUUUAAAAAAAAUAUUUAAAUAAAAUCUUUUUUAUUGGCCUUUUGGC